rnacentral:lncRNA from 1 species
CCGGGAUUUCGGGAUCAGGACCCGUCCGACCACCCCUCAAAUUAGCCUUAGUCAUUUAUACAUGAUUCAUAUCCUACCAUUGGCAUGUUAAUAAGGCUCUCAAAAGAAAAAGAAAACACUGAUGGAUUGUCCUAAAAGUAUAUUUUAUUAGACUAAUAAUGGUCUAUAUAUAAGCAGUUACAUUUAUUUCAUGUUUGAAACGGUGCAAAU